GAGUCAUUGGGACUCUGAUAAACCUAAAGGCGCAAUGAAAGUAAAGGUCCGCCUUGCGCGGACCGAGGGAGGAUGAGCCGGUCCGAGAGCCGGCUCCGCACUCCCGGGGCGUCUCGUUCUCAUCGCGAGAAGAGGCGCACCCAGAGCGUACACGCUGGGACCCGAAAGAUGGUGAACUAUGCCUGGUCAGGACGAAGUCAGGGGAAACCCUGAUGGAGGUCCGUAGCGAUUCUGACGUGCAAAUCGAUCGUCGGAACUGGGUAUAGGGGCGAAAGACUAAUCGAACCUUCUAGUAGCUGGUUCCCUCCGAAGUUUCCCUCAGGAUAGCUGGCGCUCGCCUUGCGAGUCUCAUUCGGUAAAGCGAAUGAUUAGAGGCAUUGGGGUCGAAACGGCCUCAACCUAUUCUCAAACUUUAAAUGGGUGAGAUCUCCGGCUUGCUUGAAGCAUGAAGCCGCGAGAUAUCGGAUCACAGAGUGCCAAGUGGGCCACUUUUGGUAAGCAGAACUGGCGCUGUGGGAUGAACCAAACGCAGAGUUAAAGCGCCAAAAUCGACGCUUAUGGGAUACCAUGAAAGGCGUUGGUAACUUAAGACAGCAGGACGGUGG
rnacentral:rRNA from 1 species